AUUCCAUCCUUUGUUGACAUUCCUUUAUCUGCAAUCAUAUAUCACUUAUGAUAUUCAGAACUUUAUUAUAUUCUCUAUUACUGAAUGUAGGGGAGUUUGUCUUCCUCAACUUAGUUUCUAAGAACAUUAGCAAGCCACAAGAAAAGGAUGGACUCUGGGUUCACUUUGAUAUAAUUUAACUGACUGUGUGACCAUGGAAAAGGCAAUUAACCUCUCUGAUUUGCUUCUUCCAUUGUGAAAUAGAAAAAAAAAAGGUGAUUUUAAGUGUUAGGAUCACAAAAGAGAUUACGUAAGACUAGGCAGUCAAUAAAUUCCUUUAUCAUUUUUUUAAAGAUUUUAUUUAUUUAUUCAUGAGAGACAUAGAGAGAGAGAGAGAGAGAGAGAGAGGCAGAGACACAGGCAGAGGGAGAAGCAGGCUCCCUGUGGGGAGCCCAAUGCAGGACUCGAUCCCGGGACUCUGGAAUCACAACCUGAGCUGAAGGCAGACGCUCAACCACUGAGCUACCCAGGCAUCCCUCCUUUAUCAUUUAUUUGAGCAGAGUGGACAUAGGAGUUAAGACCUAACUACUGUUAACAAACUAACAGAAAUGCAAUUUACCUAAUUUAAACAGUACAGUUUCUUUAUAGUUUUAGGAGCUUUGGAGUCUCUGGUGGAGAGGGAUAUAGUAGGACUGGGUAGGCUGGUUGUGGGGACUCACAAACCUCCUCUCUAUACUUUGCUGGUCUCUACUCCUUAUGUGACUCUUUCUUCUUGCUGCAGCCUGGCCGUUUUUUUUUUUUUUUUUUUUCCUAGGUUCCUUUGUUUGUUUGUUUUAGUAAUCUGUAUACCCAACAUGGGGGUCAAACCUAGGACCCCAAGAUCAAGAGUUGCAUGCUACUCUCACUGAGUCAGCCAGAUACCUGAGGCUUUUUCUCAUCCUCAAGUCUCCAGUGAGGUAUAAGGCCAUCAAUAGGCCCAACGUCUGCAUUUUUCUGUUCAAGAUAGCAUCCAACACUGAGCUGGGAUUUCAUAUUUUUAUCUCAAAUUCCUAGGAAACAUUAUGAUUUCUUUAAGUUGGACCAAUCAAAUGUGGCUAAGCAAGAGUCAUUGAGUCUUAUUAGGAACCCUUCGUUGAAAGUAAUUCAGGUUGGAGCUUUCAGACUACCCUGGGGAAGAAGCCAGAGUCACUUGUCAGAAUGUCCAUACUGCAGAGAAGGUUUCUGGCCACAGUCCAUCUCUGAAAAUGGGAAAUCUCAACGUGCUCCCCUUUGGCAAUGCACAGCCAAUCGAUCCUUCAUCCUCUCCUCAACUUCCCAGAAGACUGCAAGUCCUUAGAGUAUAGAAGCUCUCCUGAUGCUGCUCCCAGACCGUGACCCAUGCUGGCAAAGCUUCUGCUCCCAUGUGGCCGCAUGUUUCACGAGGAGAGCUACUAAAAUGCAGGCAAGCACAAAGUCUUAAUUGCUUGCUAGUGGGCAUUCAGCCAACAUGCUGUUAGCAGAAUGAAACCCAAUCUUAAAGAAAAAGUGCUGAACCCCUGCUCUGGAUCACCCAGCCCCAUAUGGAAUGCACGUGUUUUUUGAGGAGAUUUAGGCAUGAAGAUCUUUUUUUCCACUCUUUUGCAUGGGGAUGUCAAUCUAUGGUUUGCUAAAACAUUUUAUUCUUACUGUAAUAAUCCUGUCUGCAGACAACUUUAAGAGACAACUCUAUACUUCCUCUCCCAACUUAUGACAUGGACAAUUAAUAUAUUCUCAAUUUCUUGUUCCACUCUGAGAACAUUACUUUCAGUCUUCUUUGCAACAGUUUUUCCUUUUAAGAAUUUCCACAUUGACAUUUUAAGACUGUCACAGACUGGUUCUGAGGGUUUGCUAAACAUUUAGUCUUUGCUAAUUAAUUUCCGUAAAACUCAGUUUACUUAUCUUUAUAAUGGGAAAAAUAAUAACACCUUCCCGAUAUGGUGGCUGGGAGGGGAGAUUAAAAUUCUUGCCAUGAAAUUAAGACUCUCGCCAGUGUCUGGCACGAAGAAAAUGUCCGAUAAAUGUUGGCUGUUAAUACUGUUGGUAAAACUAAUAGCCUAAUAGUUUUCUCAUUGUAAAAGCAUCUCAAUAUAUAAUAUAAAAUAUUAACACGUGCAUUUUGGUGUUUGGGGGUUUCAGCCUUUUUUAAAAAAUCUCUCAUGUCCAGGAUUACAUUUUGAUACAUUUCUACCGCAUCCUUUUUUCUAAAGAGAUUAAAAACCUUUCUUCCAUUACAAGUAACAAAAAACAGACAAGCAAGAUAAAGAGAAAUAAUGGUCCCUAGACUUUUCCUUUAAAUUUUAAUAUCACAGUGCUAUUGU
rnacentral:lncRNA from 12 species